UACGGAGGGUGCAAGCGUUAAUCGGAAUUACUGGGCGUAAAGCGCACGCAGGCGGUCUGUCAAGUCGGAUGUGAAAUCCCCGGGCUCAACAUGGGAACUGCAUCCGAAACUGGCAGGCUAGAGUCUUGUAGAGGGGGGUAGAAUUCCAGGUGUAGCGGUGAAAUUCGUAGAGAUCUGGAGGAAUACCGAUGGAGGAGGCGGCCGCCUGGACAAAGUCUGCCGCUCAGGUGCGAAAGCGUGGGGAGCAAACAGG
rnacentral:misc_RNA from 1 species